CGUUCUCUGCCGUGUGCGACAGCGCAUACAACAUUUGCCUUGUUCCUAUCGACUACCCCGGGUACGCAGUGCUGAGGUCGGUGUGCAUGUCCGCCAUGUGCGGAAAGCCUGAGAUCUCGCGAGCGGUCCCACCUACACACGGGGUUCAAGGUCGUUUUGUGCGCAUCGGCACGGCGGAGGGCGU
rnacentral:other from 1 species